AUGGAGGUGGAGGUGGAGCUGGAGGUGGAGGUGGAGGUGUCGGGCAGAGGUGAGGGUGGAGGUGGAGGGCGGAGGCGGAGGCGGAGGUGGAGGUGGAGGGCGGAAGCGAAGGUGGAAGACGAUCGAUCGGGGAUUCAAAUUUUGAACGAGGGGUAUUCAGGUCAAUUGUCACGUUUUCACCUGGUCGGGACAGAAGCCCCAGCGACCUAUAUUUCGGAACGGAGGGAGUACAUGCCAUACCAUGAGACCCGGUAUCCUCUCGGGCUACCUCACCCAAUAUAUAAUAAGCAACUAUUGAUGCUAUAUCAUAAACACACAUUGAUGCUGCCUACCCAAGUAGGCAAAAUUUAA
rnacentral:rRNA from 1 species